rnacentral:rRNA from 1 species
GACGAACGCUGGCGGCGUGCUUAACACAUGCAAGUCGAACGGAAAGGCCCUGCUUUUGUGGGGUGCUCGAGUGGCGAACGGGUGAGUAACACGUGAGUAACCUGCCCUUGACUUUGGGAUAACUUCAGGAAACUGGGGCUAAUACCGGAUAGGAGCUCCUGCUGCAUGGUGGGGGUUGGAAAGUUUCGGCGGUUGGGGAUGGACUCGCGGCUUAUCAGCUUGUUGGGGGGGUAGUGGCUUACCAAGGCUUUGACGGGUAGCCGGCCUGAGAGGGGGACCGGCCACAUUGGGACUGAGAUACGGCCCAGACUCCUACGGGAGGCAGCAGUGGGGAAUAUUGCACAAUGGGCGGAAGCCUGAUGCAGCAACGCCGCGUGCGGGAUGACGGCCUUCGGGUUGUAAACCGCGUUCGCCUGUGACGAAGCGUGAGUGACGGUAAUGGGUAAAGAAGCACCGGCUAACUACGUG